rnacentral:rRNA from 1 species
UACGUAGGUGGCAAGCGUUGUCCGGAUUUACUGGGCGUAAAGAGCGCGCAGGCGGUCGAUCAAGUCGCGUGUGAAAGCCCACGGCUCAACCGUGGAGGGUCAUUGGAAACUGGGGGACUUGAGUGUAGGAGAGGAAAGUGGAAUUCCACGUGUAGCGGUGAAAUGCGUAGAUAUGUGGAGGAACACCAGUGGCGAAGGCGACUUUCUGGCCUACAACUGACGCUGAGGUGCGAAAGCGUGGGGAGCAAACAGG